rnacentral:rRNA from 1 species
GGGGAAUAUUGCGCAAUGGGGGAAACCCUGACGCAGCAACGCCGCGUGAAUGAUGAAGGCCUUAGGGUUGUAAAGUUCUGUCUUCUGGGACGAUAAUGACGGUACCAGAGGAGGAAGCCACGGCUAACUACGUGCCAGCAGCCGCGGUAAUACGUAGGUGGCAAGCGUUGUCCGGAUUUACUGGGCGUAAAGGAUGCGUAGGCGGACAUUUAAGUCAGAUGUGAAAUACCCGGGCUCAACUUGGGUGCUGCAUUUGAAACUGGAUAUCUAGAGUGCGGGAGAGGUAAGUGGAAUUCCUAGUGUAGCGGUGAAAUGCGUAGAGAUUAGGAAGAACACCAGUGGCGAAGGCGACUUACUGGACCGUAACUGACGCUGAGGCAUGAAAGCGUGGGGAGCAAAC